ACGACCCCAGGUCAGGCAAGAUUACCCAUUGAGUUUAAGCAUAUCAAUAAGUGGAGGAAAAGAAACGUACAAAGAUUCCCCUAGUAACGACGAGAGAACCGGCAACAACCUAGCUUGAAAAUCAUGUGGCGUCGCCAUUCAAAUUAUAGUCUACAAAAGCGUCCUUAGCGGGGGACUGGGCCUAAGUCCCCUAAAAGGGGGCACCGGAGAGGGUGCGAGCCCCGUCAUGCCCAGACCCUGUUACAACAUGAGGCACUGCUGGCGAGUCGGUUAUUUGGGAAUGCAGCCCCAAUUGGGCGAUAAAUCCCAUCCAAGGCUAAAUAUGGGCGAGAGACCAAUAGCAAACAAGUACCGCGAGGGAAAGAUGAAAAGGACUUUGAAAAGAAAGUCAAAGAGUGCUUGAAAUUUUCAGAAUAGAAGUGGAUGGGGGCCAGCGAUGUGCGUCGCGGAGACGCUUUUGCCUCGAUCGUAGCUGGCAGUGCACACCUUUGGCGAGCCUCGACAUCUAUGCACUCUCGACGCCAGCCAACGUGUUCCCUAUCUGACCCAUCUUGAAACAUGGACCAAGGAGUUUGACAUGUGUGCAAGUCAACGAGCGAGUAAACCAUUAAGGCGCAAGGAAGCUGAUUGCUAGGAUCCCUCAGCGGGUUGCGCCGUCGACCGACCUUCAUCUUUUGAGAAGGGUUUGAGUAUGAGCAUGCCUGUUGGGACCCGAAAGACGAUGAAUUAUGCCCAAGUAGGGUGAAGCCAGAGGAAAUUCUAGUGGAGGCCCGCAGUGAUACUGACAUGCAAAUCGUUCGUUUGACUUGGGUAUAGGGGCGAAAGAUUAAUCGAACCAUCUAUUAGUGGUUCCCUCUAAAGUUUCCCUAAGGAUAGAUAGAGCCCGGGUGUGAGUUAUAUCAGGUAAAUCCAAUGAUUAGAGGCAUCAGGAGCGCAACACCCUUGGCUUAUUCUCAAACUUGAAAUAGGUAGGAUGGCACAGUUGCUCCGGUGAGCGGGGCCACAGAAUUGAGGGCACCAAGCGGGCCAUUUUUGGUAAGCAGAACUGGCGAUGUGGGAUGAACCGAAAGCCGGGUUACAGUGCCCAACUGUGCACUAACCUAGAACCCACAAUGUGUAUUGGUCGAUAAUGAUAGCAGGACGGUGGUCAUGGAAGUCAAAAUCCGCUAAGGAGUGUGUAACAACUCAUCUACUGAAACUAGCCUCGAAAAUGGAUGGCGCCGAAGCACUGACCUAUACUCGACCGUUGAGGCAAGUGCCAAGCCCCGAUGAGUAGAAGGGCGCAAGGGUCGCUACAAAACCUUGGGCGCGAGCGGCCAUUAAUGCGGAUGUUGGUGGUAGUAGCAAAUAUUCAAAUGAACUUUGAAGGCUAAAGAGGGAAAAGGUUCCAUGUUAAAGACACUUACACAUGGGUUAGUCGAUCCUAAGAGUCGGGGGAAGCCCAACAGAGAGCGCGUCCAGUGAGCGAAUCGAAAGGGAUUCGGGUUAAAAUUCCUGAACCAAGAUGCGACGGCUGACAGCAACGUUAGGGUGUCCAGAGGCAUUGACAGAGGCCUUGAGAUGAGUUAUUUUUUCUGUUUAACAGCUUGCUUACCCUAGAAACAGCUUAGUUAAAGGUAGGAUCGAGCGGCUGGAAGAGCACCGCACAUCACUUGGUGUACAUUGCACCCCUGACGACCCUUGAAACUCCAGAGGACUGAGUACCUCCCACGGCUGGUCGUACUCAUAAUCGCAUCAGGUCUCCAACGUGAAUAGCCUCUGGCCGAUGGAACAAUGUAGGCAAGGGAAGUUGGCAAAAUGGAUUCGUAACUUCGGAAAAGGAUUGGCUCUGAGAGCUGGCACAGGGGUCCCAGUCCUAAACUGGUCGGCUGUCAGUUGACUACUCGAGCUACUGCCACGGUGAGAGUAAGUGGUCACGUGCCGGAAAAUGGGCCAGGACUGGGAAUAACUCUUUGCGGGGCCUUCCCUUGGCAUCGAACAAUCGACUCAGAACUAGUACGGAUAAGAGGAAUCUAACUAUUUAAUUAAAACAAAGCAUUAUGAUGGUGCCUGCGGAUGUUCACGCAAUGUGAUUUCUGCCUAGUGCUUUGAAUGUCAAAGUGAAGAAAUUCAACGAAGCGCGAGUAAACAGUAGGAGUAACUAUGACUCUCUUAAGGUAGCCAAAUGCCUCGUCAUCUAAUUAGUGACGCGCAUGAAUGGAUUAACGAGAUUUCCACUGUCCCUGUCUACUAUCCAGCGAAACCAUAGCCAAGGAAACGGGUUUGGCAGAAAAUCAGUAGGGAAAGAAGACUCUGUUGAGCUUAACUCUAGUCCGACUUUGUGAAAUGACUUGAGAGGUUAUAAGACCAGAAACGGUGAAAGUGAAAUACCACUACUUUCAACGUUAUUUCACUUAUUCCAUGAGUUAGAGGCAGCGCCCUACCCCUCAUUUUGGACCGAAGGCCUACUUUGGUGGGCUGAUCCGGGUAAAAGACAUUGUCUGGUAGGAAGUUUUGCUGGGGCCGCACAUCUAUUAAAAGAUAAUGCAUGCGUUCUAAGAUAAGCUCAACGAGAAUAAAAAUCUUGUGUGGAACAGAAGCGUAAAACCUUGUUUGAUUCUACUUUCCAGUAUGAAUAUGAACUGUGAAAGUGUGGCCUAACGAUCCUUUAGACCUUCAGAAUUUGAAGUUAGAGGUGUUAGAAAAAUUACCACAGGGAUAAACCGGCUUGUGGCAGCCAAGCGUUCAUAGAGACAUUGCUUUUUGAUCCUUCGAUGUCUACUCUUCCUAUCAAUGUGAAGUAGAAUUCACCAAGUGUUGGAUUGUUCCCCCACCAAUAGGGAACGUAAGUUGGGUUUAGACCGUUGUGAGACAAGUCUGUUUUACCCUAUUAAGGAUAGUGUCGCAAUAAUAAUUCAACCUAGUACGAGAGGAACCAUUGAUUUGCACAAUUGGUCAUCGCGCUUGGUUGAAAAACUAGUGGCACGAAGCUACCAUGCGCUUGAUUAUGGCUGAAUGCCUAUAAGUCCGAAUCCAGGUGAGAAGCGAUGCAUGCGCCCGCUGUUCAUUUGCCGACCAACAGUAGGUGCCAUUCGGCCCCUAAAGGCAUGUGUCGUAGGUGAAACUCACGCGACAAACGAGCCUCGCGGGCCAACUUAAAAGUAUAAUCCCUAUU
rnacentral:rRNA from 1 species